CCUACGGGAGGCAGCAGUGGGGAAUAUUGGACAAUGGGGGGAACCCUGAUCCAGCCAUGCCGCGUGUGUGAAGAAGGCCCUCGGGUUGUAAAGCACUUUCAGUGAGGAAGAACGCCUGGUGGUUAAUACCCAUCAGGAAAGACAUCACUCACAGAAGAAGCACCGGCUAACUCCGUGCCAGCAGCCGCGGUAAUACGGAGGGUGCGAGCGUUAAUCGGAAUUACUGGGCGUAAAGCGCGCGUAGGUGGCUUGAUAAGCCGGUUGUGAAAGCCCCGGGCUCAACCUGGGAACGGCAUCCGGAACUGUCAAGCUAGAGUGCAGGAGAGGAAGGUAGAAUUCCCGGUGUAGAGGUGAAAUGCGUAGAGAUCGGGAGGAAUACCAGUGGCGAAGGCGGCCUUCUGGACUGACACUGACACUGAGGUGCGAAAGCGUGGGUAGCAAACAGGAUUAGAUACCCGAGUAGUC
rnacentral:rRNA from 1 species